rnacentral:ncRNA from 2 species
AAAGUUAAUAGAGGUAGCGGUGCAGAAGAGUAACCAUUCGAGCAGGCAUGCAAGGAAGAUGGCCAAAGGCAAUCACCGCCGAACGUUUAAUUUAGGCAUAAAUUAUUCGUGGGGUUAUAGGAAAAACUUAUAACACUCCUACAUUUAGUAGAGGCGCUAAUUGAUUU